rnacentral:tRNA from 1 species
AGCUUUAUAGUCAUUAAUGAUAUUAGACUGCAAUUCUAAAGGAGUAAUUUUACUAAAGCUU